rnacentral:rRNA from 1 species
UACAGAGGGUGCGAGCGUUAAUCGGAUUUACUGGGCGUAAAGGGCGCGUGGGCGGUUGAAUAAGAUGUGUGUGAAAACCCUGGGCUUAACCUGGGGAUUGCGCCUGAUACUGUUAAGCUAGAGUACUGUAGAGGAGAGUGGAAUUUCCGGUGUAGCGGUGAAAUGCGUAGAGAUCGGAAGGAACACCAGUGGCGAAGGCGACUCUCUGGACAGUGACUGACACUGAGGCACGAAAGCAUGGGUAGCAAACAGG